CCCUCCUCUUUCCCCCUCCAUCAGCCUCUGCCUUGCCCCCUAGCUAUUACUGUUGGUCAACACCUGUCUUGUACCAGCCCUCCAACAAGGUCGCUGUAGUGCAAAUAGGCUGACUGUUGCUGACUGACUGCUGGCUCCUGAUAGGCUCCUCUCGGAAAGGGAAGGCUCGGGUCCCAGGGUCAUUUUCGGAAAGGCGAGGAGACUGUGUUUGGUUUCGCUCCUGGGACCAGUCUGAGAAGAGGAAAGAGAAGCAAAUGAAGAAAAAGAGAGAAACAGUAGCUUUUAACACAGUGUAGACCGGGGGGUUGUUUUAACACAGUGUAGGCAGGGGGUUGUUUUAACACAGUGUAGGCAGGGGGCUGUUUUAACACAGUGUAGACAGGGGGUUGUUUUAAGACAGUGUAGACAGGGGGUUGUUUUAACACAGUGUAGACAGGGGGUUGUUUUAACACAGUGUAGGCAGGGGGUUGUUUUAACACAGUGUAGACAGAGGGUUGUUUUAACACAGUGUAGACAGGGGGUUGUUUUAACACAGUGUAGACAGAGGGUUGUUUUAACACAGUGUAGGCAGGGGGUUGUUUUAACACAGUGUAGACAGGGGGUUGUUUUAACACAGUGUAGACAGAGGGUUGUUUUAACACAGUCUAGACAGGGGGCUGUUUUAACACAGUUGUGUGAGUUGUGGCUUAUGAACUUCUACUUCUGGUAGGUUCUUAUCUCGGGCUCCUGAUUGGCUCAUUGCGGUCUAAGGCACUGCAUCUCUGGUGCUACAGGCGUCACUACAGACCCUGGUUCGAUUCCAGGCUGUAUCCACCACCGGCCGUGAUUGGGAGUCCCAUAAGGCAUAACACAAUUGGCUGUCUGCGUUUUGCCGGGGAUAGGCUGUCAUUGUAAAUAUGAAUUUGUUCUUCACUGACUUGUCUAGUUAAAUAAAGCUUAAUAAAUAAAAUAAAGUACCAGGAGAGUGAGCACUGCCAUUGAUUAGAGCACACACACACACAGCCCCCCUCGCUAUGACCUGAGUUGAAAACAGUGUAAAAUGGAGAGAUAAAGGAAUCAGGGGAGAAAAUAGUCUUUCAACGAUACAGCCCUGUUGUUCUUUUUAUGGGAAAUAAUAAAAUAGCCCCUCAAGGGGGGGGAUUGUUGUAAACUUGUUGGAAGAAGCAGGUUGCAAUGUUAACAAUGGUAUAUUUAUGAGCAACAACUUCUUGGAGUGUCUUUUUUAAAAAUGUUAUCAGGGAGACUAAUAUCAAGUCAAUUUGAUCCCGAGGCAGGAACAUUGGACAACUAUUUAGGGCUAGAAACAAAGUGUAUUUAUUAUAAUCUAUGGCAGUGCUCACAGUGAAGUAUCGCUAUUAGCCACAAAGCCAGCAGUCUCUCUAAUGGGUUAUAAAUGAGAAGAACACAGUUUGAAAUGUGAAUCACAGUGAUGCAUGAAAUAAGCUAAUUUCCAUAUAUAUGUAGCUCAGGGAUUCUUGAAAGACGGGGACAUGAACCCCCCCCCCCAAAAAAAAUCACCAAUCAUUUUCUU
ensembl:lncRNA